rnacentral:piRNA from 1 species
CAGCCGCCAAUGGGGUAACUUUUU